rnacentral:rRNA from 1 species
AUUGAACGCUGGCGGCAUGCCUAACACACGCAAGUCGAACGAGUGGCGGACGGGUGAGUACUGUCUGGGAAACUGCUCGAUGUAGGGGGAUAACUACUGGAAUUGGUAGCUAAUACCGCAUACCAUCGGAUGUGCCCAGAUGGUAUUAGCUAGUGGGUGGGGUAACUGCUCACCUAGGCGACGAUCCCUAGCUGGUGCGAGAGGAUGACCAGACACCCUGGAACUGAGACACGGUCCAGACUCCUACGGGAGGCAGCAGUGGGGAAUAUUGAACAAUGGGCGCAAGCCGGAUGCAGCCAUGCCGCGUGUAUGAAGAAGGCCUUCGGGUUGUAAAGUACUUUCAGCGAGGAGGCGUUACUCGCAGAAGAAGCACCGGCUAACUCCGUGCCAGCAGCCGCGGUAAUUC